rnacentral:lncRNA from 1 species
GAACACUUAAAGGUCAUUGCCAGCUUAUUAAUUGGCUUAAUUUUAAUAUUACUGUUUCUUAGGGAGUAAGGAGGCUAGUCAGCACAGCAGUCAGAGCUCACAUCACAUUUAUGGCACAAAACAGCAACACCACCUACCCCUCCCAUUGCCUUCUUUAGAGUAAGUUCUCUGUUCUGAAGCCUUGGCACAGGCUGACAUCCUUCUUACAUAUUUUACUGAAUUGCAGAUGUGAAACUGGUGCCCUUUCCUGUGAAGCUAACCACAGCACUGGCCCAAGAGUCACAGAAGAUAAAGGAAGAGACCCAAGAGGAGUUGGACGAGCAAGUCCUGCUGCUGCUGCAGACGCUGCACACACUGGUCUAGGAUUUUGAGAAACUGAAGGAGGAGAUCCAGCUGUUGCUGGAGUGACUGUCAGCUGGCCCUGCUCCACUUAGACAAGGUGAGCCAGCCCAUCAGAAACAAUGUGCCUGAUUUGCAAUGGCACCCGAUGUCUUGCAUUGUAAUUGCAUUGACCUUCCCAGUAUAAAAGGAUAUGACUGUUGCUGCUUCUCUUCCACUUUUCAAAUGUCAUCUAAAGUAUCUCUUGCAGCCCACAGGAAUUUGGAAUUAUGCUAAAAAGUGGAUUCUGAGAAUCAUGUUUGUAACUUAAAUGAGCUUACACAGUGCAUAUCACCUUGCAUAUGUCAAAAUAAAAAAUGAAAUAAAAAUCGAUACAAUCUCUUCUUCUCCCUGGAGUAAAGACAGUAUCUUUUUUCUGAAUACUAUGUGUUCAUCAGUCUUCUCAUCACAGCUUCAGUGCCUGUAUCAGAUAACAUCUUAGGAAGUCUCAUCCAGGCUACCCUUCCUCCAGACACACUGGAUAUGAUCUUAAUUGCUAGAAUAUUAAGAGAAGAUAAUAAGAUAAGAAGGGAAGCAGCAACCAUAUGAUGUGAUAAUUGUGAGUCUGGGACCUGGAAGCUUUACAAAAGAUAUUGGGUAAUAAAGACUUGGAGACUUACAUGUUUAACUUCCUUAUCCAGAGUGAUCUGAUGGGCAUAUUUAUUAUGAUGAUGGUAAAGAUAUUAAGUUCAAAUUCAACCCCCAUCUGAGAGGACUGGAAGACUGUUUAAGUUGUCAGGGUAGCCUGACAAUGAACCAGGGCUGCAUACAAACCAUUAGUGAAAACUGCAAAGAUACAUGUAACACACAGGCAAAUAUACAAAGAGAACCUUGUAUGGAGUGUAAAAGAAGCAUACGCCUACAAACUGCUGGAGGCUUUGAAAGCAAUUUACCGAGAAAGCUUUUUACAGUGGCCCACUUUGGAGCCAUCGAUAAUUAACUAAACAAAUAUUUCAGAGUGUAUCCAACUGGUUUCAGCCAAUUUCCUUAGGGAGUUGUGAUACUUUAAAUUCCAUAUAAUGAUACUGUUGGAUCAGUGUCUUCAGCUGCAGUAUGUAAGCACACAGGACUUGAUUCAUGAUCAUAUGGGUAAUAAUUUGAGAUCAAUAUUUUAAAUAAUGUAAUAGAAAACCAGCAAGGAAUCUCUCACAAGUAAUAAAUAGCGCUUGAGCCUUAGUUGUGGGUAUAUGGAGUCAUUAUGAAUUCUGCCAAGUAUAUAGAUUUAUGCUUAUACAAAUUACUGAGUGAUAAAAGACAACAUUUCUCAUAAUAGCAAUAUGGUUUCAUAACCUAUCCAAGAGCAUAGGUUUCUUCAUGUAGGACACCAAGAAACCAAAGCAUUAUUCUAACCACUUAUUCAUAAUAGGUCUGACUUUAGCAGCUGAUAUUUCUGCCUUGCAGAGACUCUGUUUUUCCCAGUCUUGAGAUGAGAUGUGAAGCUUGUCUUAUUCACACUGCGUGGCAUAUGGAAAGAAGCUCAGGCUUUAGAGGCAGAAAUACAUCUGCUCGAGGGAUCUGCUUAGUGCUAGUUUCUGCUUCUGUAAAAUGCGAAU